CCUCAAAAUAUUUUUUCCACUUUACCGGGCUUUGCAAAAGUUCUGUUACACUUGUUGAGACAUUCACGAAAAUGAACACAAAGAUUUUUUGGUGCAAUAAGAUAAUUUUUUAUUUUCCAAAUAUUUCAAUAUAUGUGUUAAUGAUAAUAUUAAUCAGAAAUGUGGCCACCCUCGGCUGCA